CGGAACCAAAGAAAGUACAAAUUAAAGAGUCCUCUCUCCUACAGUAACUUCCCUGCCUUCCCACUACUUACCUAAUUUUUAGCAGCACCUGGCGCACACUAACCAAAUACAGGGGGGGUGAUCCGCCCAGGUCUUACCUAGUGUGCAUAGAUAAAUACUACGGAUGACGUAUGCCCGUAGGCUUCUUGAUUAAACACUCCCAAGGCGCGUUCCCCCCCCGGAACAAAUGAAACAGAAUAUUUACCAAUACUUUAAGUGAAAAAUGUAAUUAACCAAAAACACUAAGUCCUAUUGGCAUACACAUACCUCUGAAGGCGCAGCUACAAAAUAAUACCGCCAAAACUUUUACUGACCGCCACAACAAUCAACACAGGACAUAAAAAGAAACUCUCUCUCUGACAAAGGAGCACUGGGUUUUAUCAAGCUGUAGAAGGAGUUGGUAAUUGAAGAGCCAGCUGUUUCCCCUGACGAGAGGGAGGGGUCAGAGCUACAAUCAGCAAUGGGGCCGACCAAUCAGCUGCGUGAGGAAUCCAGGAAGCCAUUCCCUGAAUACACACAUACAAACCCACAACAACACAGAAACUGGGGAACGUAACAACUUUACACAGGGACCUGAAUGUACAACUGUCCUCUAGCUGUUAUAAUAUAAUUUAACGCAUGGACCCGAAGAUUCCAAGAUUGUCAGUGACUUUGGCCUGUCCAAGUUGGAAGAGCAGUGUGCUCACCACUGCAUGUGGACCCCCUGCUUAUGUGGGUGAGGAUCCCCAAAUACCUACAUCCCAUAUGAACCCUCAUCAUGUAGAAUUAAAGCAGUUUGAACCUCACACAUAAACCCUCUCUUUAAUUUUGUGUGCAGCCCCAUAGCUUCUGCAGCAGAAAUCUUAUGACAAAGAGGUGGACCUAUGGGCUCUGGGGGUGAUCACCUACAGUUGAAGUCGGAAGUUUACAUACACUUAGGUUGGAGUCAUUAAAACAAAUUUUUCAACCACUCCACAAAUUUCUUGUUAAAAAACGAUAGUUUUGGCAAGUCGGUUAGGACAUCUACUUUGUACAUGACACAAGUUAUUUUUCCAACAAUUGUU
rnacentral:lncRNA from 8 species